GGAUGUGGCUCAGUGGCAGAGUGCUUGCCUAGCAUGUGUGAGGCACUGGGUUCGAUUCUCAGCACCA
rnacentral:tRNA from 1 species